CAUUGAUUAGAUAAAGACUGAUUCUUACUGCUUUGCCUCUGCUAUAUUAAACAAAAGGACUCCCUUCAUUAAAUUAACAAGGGAAGCAACCUAUAAAAUUAAUUAGGGAGGAAAGAAGGGUAAAAUUAAUCCCAAUAAAUGGUAAGAGAAGGGUUUAUUUUAGUGCGACUUGGACAUUUUGCAAUUGUGAGGAUGUUUUAUAAGUAUCAUUCAUCUUGGUAAAGGAUUGAUACCAGUGGAAAUUGAAAAUGGUGAUGCUUCCAACCCUGAUUUUGUUUUAGCUGUAGUCUUAGAAUUAAGGCUUUUUCCUGCAUCUUUUGGUGUGACAGAGAAAAGAUGCCUGUCAAAAUCGAUCAAAAAGCUGGCAUUAAUUGGAAGCAUGAAAUUCCUAAAGUUCUAAUCACACACACACACACACACACACACACACACACACACACACACACGGAUUGUAAAAGUUUAAUGCUGUGACCUUCAAAAGCACAUAUUAUACAGCACAGAAAUCAACACCCUUCCUCAACAGCAACCAGGGGAUCAAUUAUCAGUGGCAUGAUGCCCAGAGGCAGGUCAUUGAUCAUUUCUAUUGCCUUGACCGUGAUUGCUGUUGCUAUGGUUAAUGAAUGUUAUUGAACCUGCUACCCAAACCUAAUGGUGAGCAUCACCCACGUCCUUGUCCCCAUUUUCCAAUAUUUCAGGAGAAUGGGGUUAGAAACCCAGGUUUAAAAGGUUGUCAAACUCCAGCGGGUUGGUUUUUUUUUGUUUUGUUUUGUUUUGUUUUGAAUGACUUGUUUGCUGUAAAAGAUACUGCCAGAUAGUUUCAUGAAGAUCUUUGCCUUUAUAAAAGUAAUGGAAGCUCAAAUUCUAUGUGAAACAUUAUUUGUAUUUCAGUCUGCAGUAAAAGCCUAUUGGUCCACUGGCAAUAUUUUGGAGAACCUGGACUGGCCACUAAAUGUCCACGCGCUUGGAGCCUUUGGUUUCUUGAGAGAAAUGGAGAAAGAAAGGGGCCACGAGGCACCUGAUGCCCCAGUACGUUGAUGUGUAGUUCUCAGAACUCUAGACAGCUUCCUGGCUACUGGUUCCUGUGGUUCUGAUCCUCCCUCGGUGUAGACUCAUCCAGCAGACAGCCUCGGAGGGUUACAAUCCGGGAGUCAGCAGGAGCCGACGUCUCGUCGGAAGCGGGACUGGGGGAGGGUCUGCUUUCAGACGCAGUGCUUGUGGUCCCAUUCGGUUCCCUGGGUGUCCCGGGGAGGGCGUCCCCAACUCUUGCAUCACUUCCGUGACCAGGAGGCCCCAGAGCAGCGGAGCGAGGAGGAAGGACCCAGGGCACAGAUACUCCCACUGCCCCAACCCAGAGCCCGUCAACUGCCCGACACACAGCGAGCCCAUCUAAGAAAACAGGCCCCGGAGUCCAGUCUUAAUCCCACCCCCAAAGCCAUGAGCUAAGUAAAAACAUAGAUGUGAAGCCACCGGUCUGAGGCAGCUUGUUAAGGCAAUGUCGCUUUGUCGAAUAAAACUGAUGCACUUAUUAUUAAUCCUUCUCACAUUUCGCCUUAAAGGAAUCCUCGUUUAUUUUAAGUCAUGUAUUCCUGUUAUUGAGGGGUGGGCAUGUGGGUGUGUGUAUGUUUAGAUGGUUGCAAAGCUUAGUAAUUCAUAUUAUGAUUUUUUUCCCCUUUAAUAGCUCAGCAGUCUUUUUUUCUUCAAUAAUGGAGCCUGUGCUGCUUCAAGAUCCCAGAUGUCAAAUGUGAGUUGUACAGGGAAUUACAUACAAACGGUCGGUUCCCAGUAAAAUUUCCUAGAUGUUAGUAUGACUUGUUUUUCCCACCAAAUUCUAGAUUUUUAAAAUUAAAUUGCCUCCAAUUUAUGCAAUUAGAUAUUAUUUACCCUGCAGAAGAGUUUGAACACGAUGGCUCUUGAUGAGUGCAUUCAUUCAUCA
rnacentral:lncRNA from 9 species